rnacentral:rRNA from 1 species
UCGCCUACGGGAGGCAGCAGUGGGGAAUAUUGCACAAUGGGGGAAACCCUGGUGCAGCGACGCCGCGUGAGUGAAGAAGUGCCUCGGCACGUAAAGCUCUAUCAGCAGGGAAAAAAAUGACGGUACCUGACCAAGAAGCCCCGGCUAACUACGUGCCAGCAGCCGCGGUAAUACGUAGGGGGCAAGCGUUAUCCGGAUUUACUGGGUGUAAAGGGAGCGUAGACGGCGAUGCAAGUCUGAAGUGAAAGGCGGGGGCCCAACCCCCGGACU